GGGUGAUUAGCUCAGCUGGGAGAGCGUCUGCCUUACAAGCAGAAUGUCGGCGGUUCGAUCCCGUCAUCACCCACCA
rnacentral:tRNA from 608 species